AAAGAAUGCAAUAAACAUUCAAAAGACACUGAAGACCAUCAACAAAAUAAUAGUGAAACAUUAAGAGACUAAUCUGUGCAGGAUGUGGGUCAACUUCAAAAAAGCCUGUGGUGUACUGCUGCAUUCUUGAAUUAUAGUAUGACUUUGAAUGUUCAGCAUAGCUGAAUAGGUCAUUAUUAGACAGAAGCAAAUGCCGGUCAUUUAUAUAUGGGAUGCAAGGUUAAAGGGAGAUAACUUUUAAAGUAUUUUCUGUUGUGUCUGGGUAGAGUUAUUUUCUUUUUGUGCCUUAUAAUAUAACACAUGCACCGGU
rnacentral:lncRNA from 1 species